rnacentral:rRNA from 1 species
UACGUAGGGGGCAAGCGUUGUUCGGAAUUACUGGGCGUAAAGCGCGCGUAGGCGGUUUGUCAAGUCAGGAGUGAAAUCCCAGGGCUUAACCUUGGAAUUGCUUUUGAAACUGACAGGCUAGAGAUCGGCAGGGGAUAGUAGAAUUCUUGGUGUAGAGGUGAAAUUCGUAGAUAUCAAGAGGAAUACCAGUGGCGAAGGCGGCUAUCUGGACCGAUUCUGACGCUGAGGCGCGAAAGCGUGGGGAGCAAACAGG